AAAAUCCAGCUUAAAAAGGUACUCCACAUAAAGCUAAAUUAGAAACAUUAAAACAAGCCGAAGUUAAAGGAAUAUGAAUUCUUAAACCACAUAUUAAACGAAUAUCCUGGGAGUUAUUAUAUUAUUAUUAUAUAAACAAUAAAGCUUUCAAUAAAACAUGAGUUAAUAAAUAAAAUAUAGCUUAUUUUUAAAAUCUUAUAGAUACAAUUCUUAUUAUUAACCCUAAUUGUCUCAAUGUUGAUAAAGCAAUGAUUUUUUUUAAAUCAAAUUCAAAAUUAGCCCCUAAGCCAGCUAAUCCACCUAAUCCAGUAUUGUUAAACCAAAUAAUAACAAUAAUAAUUUUCCUAAUCAAGAAGUUCUUAAUAAAAUAUUAAAUCGAAUUAGAAGAUAAACACCAGCAGUUACUAAAGUAGAAGAAUGUACUCAAGCAGAAACAGGUGUAGGGGGG
rnacentral:lncRNA from 1 species